rnacentral:rRNA from 1 species
GACGAACGCUGGCGGCGUGCUUAACACAUGCAAGUCGAACGGAAAGGCCCUGCUUUUGUGGGGUGCUCGAGUGGCGAACGGGUGAGUAACACGUGAGUAACCUGCCCUUGACUUUGGGAUAACUUCAGGAAACUGGGGCUAAUACCGGAUAGGAGCUCCUGCUGCAUGGUGGGGGUUGGAAAGUUUCGGCGGUUGGGGAUGGACUCGCGGCUUAUCAGCUUGUUGGUGGGGUAGUGGCUUACCAAGGCUUUGACGGGUAGCCGGCCUGAGAGGGUGACCGGCCACAUUGGGAAUGGGAACCGGCCCAGACCCCCACGGGGGGCAGCAGGGGGGAAUAUGGCACAAGGGGGGGAAGCCUGAUGCAGCAACGCCGGGGGGGGGAGGAGGGCCUUCGGGUUGUAAACCGCUUUCGCCUGGGACGAAGGGGGGGGGAGGGUAAGGGGGAAAAAAGCACCGGCAAAUUAGGG